rnacentral:rRNA from 1 species
GAUGAACGCUGACAGAAUGCUUAACACAUGCAAGUCUACUUGAAUUUGGGUUUUUUAACUUAGAUUUGGGUGGCGGACGGGUGAGUAACGCGUAAAGAACUUGCCUCACAGCUAGGGACAACAUUUGGAAACGAAUGCUAAUACCUGAUAUUAUGAUUAUAAGGCAUCUUAGAAUUAUGAAAGCUAUAUGCGCUGUGAGAGAGCUUUGCGUCCCAUUAGCUAGUUGGAGAGGUAACGGCUCACCAAGGCGAUGAUGGGUAGCCGGCCUGAGAGGGUGAACGGCCACAAGGGGACUGAGACACGGCCCUUACUCCUACGGGAGGCAGCAGUGGGGAAUAUUGGACAAUGGACCAAGAGUCUGAUCCAGCAAUUCUGUGUGCACGAUGACGUUUUUCGGAAUGUAAAGUGCUUCCAGUUGGGAAGAAAAAAAUGACGGUACCAACAGAAGAAGUGACGGCUAAAUACGUG